GGGCAGAACGCGCAGGGGCGUCAAGGCAACGGGGGGUCGCGAGAACCAAAUUUUCUCCUUUUUUCGCCCCAAAGUAACAGGCGAAAUCCCCUCAUGAGGGCUUCUCCUAUGCUGGGAACAACCCCCGACGAAACUUUGAAAUAUUAAGAGUGGCGAUACGCUCACUUUCAAUCAGGGCGCUCGCUUGUCAAGUGUCCACCACCUUCAUGCAGUGUUGCUUUGUAGGUUUCAAAAAGCUCAUUCAUUUGCAAAUGCCCCCCACCCCACCCUGCGAGUAGAUCAUCUUUAUUCUGGCAAAAUACAGAACAUUUCGCGGUUUUAUAUUCUGAUUUUGUUCCGUGGACCGCCCUGAUACCUCCGGGUAUAGGGCGGUAUAUAAAUUCAAUCAGUCAGGAUGGGGUGGUUGGUGGACGAUAUUCUUUAAUAAUUAAAAAAAAUCUGGUCCUGAAGUGACUUCCAAGCAAUCCAUUACAAUCUGUUGCAGCCUAACAGGAUGGCCCCUAACUUGGCAGAGAGAGAAAAAUACCUGAAAUACAGAACAAAACUCUUAUCAACGGGGGAGAGGCACAAAAGAUCCACAAAAAACUGUACUGAAAAGCAUUGAAAGUACUCAAUUAAUUGAGGUUCUGCUCUCCCCACACCCAGCAGAUGCCUGUCCCCAGCAAAAGAUUGCUGCCUUUCAAUGUCCUCUUUUUGGGGGCAAUUUUUUUUUUUAAAAGCUCAAGAACUUUGGUGGGCGAUCUUCGGAGGAACAGCUCUGUCUCCCCCUAACAAAAAUCUUGUCUACGCCCAUGAUACAGGAUGUAGCUUUUUACAUGGAAAUACAGGACAAUCCUGUAUUAUACCGGACAGGUGGCAACCCUGCCAUAUUUACUCGGGUCUAAUGAGCCAUUGAAUCUAAUGCGCACUUCAAUUUUCAGAACCUUGAAACCCAAAAAAGUAUUUGCUGGCAAAUGUAAAUGUGACAUCGAAUCUAAUGUGCACCUUAAUUUUCGUGGUGUAAUUUGGCCAAAAAGGUGAGCAUCAGAUUCAAGUAAAUACAGUGUUUGCAUUUAUUUGACCAGAGCUUCCCUGGAGCAGAGCAAACUGGUGAACCCCAGUCCAAAUUCAGUGUGCUGCUCUAUGCUGGCUCCUUUGGUCUGAAUAGUUCAGCAACUGCUGUUGCUGUUCCCCUUCACUUACUGGAGAUGUUACUGGGUCUAAACAAAUGUGUGCUGCACUGCACUAGAUAGAUGGGUAGCCUUCAGUAAAACUGACGACGACUAUAAUGCCUCCAAAGCCUCACUUUUACCACCUUUUGCCCUGCUGGCCUUCCCCAAUCUAUUCCUCUUUGUGGCACCACAUAGGAGGUUUCAAAUGGAGGGGUUUGGAGCAGGGAUGUUGACUCAACAGGUUUUGCAAGUUGGACAGGACUGUGACUUUCCCCAGUGCUAAGCUCUAAGGCAGAUCCAAAGAGGAUUAGUUUCGAUAGCCAACAUUAAACGCCGCUGUAACUAUUUUCCAUAACUCCUUUUCCGAUACUACUCCUUCCACCUUCCUGCUGAGUGCUGAAGCAGAGAACUUGACUCUGCAGUGGGAAGUUCAGUUUUGAAAAGGGCUUUUACUUUCCUUUAAGUCCUCUAGAUAUUUACUUAGAAGUGAGUUUGAGGAGAUUUGCUGCUCCCAAGCAAGUGGGCAUCGGUUCACAGCCUUGGUAUCUGUGCUUGUACAAACUCUUCUCUUGCCCUACAAAAAAGAGAGAGGAAAAAUAGACUCUCAUUUUCGGUGUCUCUUUUCCUGCAUUUAGCUUGCAGGCAAGCCUCUCUCCUUUCAUGUUUAUCUUCCUAAACUGGACUGUAGUCAUUCUGAUAAAAUUCUAGUGCCACCUAUGUAUUCUUUACAGUGCCUGUGAUAGCGUUGGUUUUAAACAGCUCUUGAAACAGAUUUUAUAUACAUUCUACUUUAUAAGGGCCAUAUCAGCACCUCCUACAAUUCUGAAAAUCACAACCAGUUUAGGGCUCUUCACAUGUGCCUUUUUGUGAGACAUGCUAUGCUUCUCAGCAUGGGCAUGUAGAAAGCUCUACCUACCAAAGGGAAAAAGUGACUGUCUUAAUUCUUGGGCAGAAACAUUUCCUAGUCUUUCAGAUUAACCUAGAAAAAUGACUGCCCACAUACUUCAUGCUAACUAUUUGUGACAUAAGAGAAACAACAUUUGAAAUGCUUUCAUGUCUGCUUACCUGGAUGCAGUUCUUAUCAUAGGCAGUCAGGUAAACGGAUAUUUGCCAGUUUUCCUUGCCUGAGAAGCCAAGGGCCUUGUGCAUGCAAAGAUUUAGCUCCAUCACUGAACUACCAAACUUUCUUAUAUUAACUCUGAAUGUCCAUCUCUCUCCACCCCCGUUGUUGGAGUUUGGUUAAUUUGUAUUUAGAGCGGCUUCUCUAAGCCACUUUAUUGAUAAUGAACAAGUAUAACUCUUCCUGUUGAAGGAGAGAGUGAAGAGGGUACAGAUCAUCAAGGCAGCAAUCCUCAAACCACUUACUCCAGGGCACACUGGCUGAGGUCAAUGGAAUGGGACUCCUCCAAAGUGCAGCUGGAGGUAUUAGCACUGAUUAUGUUGAUAUUGAAGGAAUAUAGGGUCAGGCCUCCUAGGCUGUUUUUUUUCCUCAGAAAUUUCAGAGAGCACUUUAGACUCAGUCCUAUGCUCACACACUUAACACUUUACCAGCUCUUCAUGUGGUAUACUACUUAGGACAAAAUUUGAUCCUUUGAUUGGAAAAGUAAAAAAGAAAAAGUUAGCCGUGUCCCUCUCAUCAAAGCAGUGGCCAUUGAUUCUUAAGUACUCCUUGUUGAAAUCAAUGGGGAGUUCAAGCUUAAAAAUUAAUGCUACUGUAACUCAGUGUUAUUAAUACCCCAUAAAAUUUUAAAAGAGGAAUAUGUUUUACGUCUGGCUGGCAGUUAACAGCGCAUUGUGCCAUUUAAAAAGGCAAUACCAUCGUUCUUUAAAACAAACAACUGAGCCGACUUGAAGAGAGCGAGGACCCAGUUAAAGGAAUUAAAUAUCCAGUUGCGUAAAAUUCUAAUAGAAAAAUGAAAUAUUAAUUCCAUGCAAAGGACAGUUGUUGAAGCCCAUACUUAACCAAAGCCAGAAGCAAACAGCCCCUGAAGAAGAAAUAUUGGUAAGGGGGAUGUAGGUAUAUUCAGUGCUAUGUUUCUAUAUCACAGGCAACAGGAUCCUAUAUCUAAUGAUCUGCUCAGAGUGACAUAUCAUAAAUGCAAUAAAAUGCAUAAACCUGGGAGAACAGUUUGAGAAGUUUCUUAGACGGUUCAGCUCAUAGCCUGUGGGCCAAAUUACAAGGAAUGGUGAUAGAUCAUAGAUAGAUCUGCCUUAGGCAGAGUCAAACUAUUGAUUCAUCUAGAUCAGCGUUGUCUACUCUGACUGGUAGCAGCUCUACAGGGUUUCAGACCUACUUGUAAAUGCUGGGGACUGAAGCUGGGACUUUGUGAAUGCAAGAGAGAUGCCCAACCACUUCGCUACUAUCCUUUCCAAAGGAUCUUCCUAUGCUUUAAAUACUAAUCUACCUCACCUAUGUGCAAAGCAGAGAUGGAGGAGAAAUUGAGGGCAUAACAUGAGGUGUUUAACCUGUCUCUCCUGCACACAUACCCCAUGCUUAGGGUUGCCAAAUUUUUAAUUGGUUCCUUGCCACUUUAACAUCAGUUUUAGCUAUAGCAUUUAGCAGAUGCCAUGAAAAACAUCACCCAGCUUAUUUCAGUGUAUCAAACCUCUAUUAAAAGGACAGGACAGGCUGGUUUGUGUCUUAUCUUUCCUUGGUUAGUUGGCAACCCUGUCCCAACACUUACUUACCUGUUGUAUUGGAGCUAGGGUGACCAGAUGCAAAAGCUGAUGAGGCUCUGGCACCUUUAAUACUUGUGUAGAAUACAGAAUUUGCAGGUACAGCUAAUGAAAUUCUCUCUAUGGAACAACUCCUCAAGGUAUAGGAGCCCUGUCCUCUUUUGCAUCUGGCCACCUUCAGGAGCCCAGCUAGGAGAAAACUGACCUUGGAGGAGCUAGUUUGCAGGACAGACAGACAGGAUAAGGGCUGGUGCCGAUACACCCUUUAAAUCCCACCCCCGCACACACUUUGGACACAAUUGGGGCAGACCUGCAUUUAAAGACCUGGGGUUGCUGCCAUCACAUACAUUUAUAAAGUUUUACAUUUUGUACUGUGUUUGCAUUUUAUAUUGUUUUUUUAUAUUCCGUUUUGAUUGUAAGCUACUUUGGGUGGGCAUUUGUUCAGAAAAUCAGCCUUAAAUUAUUUUCAGUAAAGUAAAUGUUUUCCUUUUACAUAAACACACUGGGAAUAUUUAUGCGAGGACAGUAUACAAAUAUUAUUAUUAUUAUACAAUGCUUCCAGUUCCAGAUCACUGCCGAAGAGAGAGAAAGUUUUAAAAAGUAGCUUCACAGGCUGAAGGACAAGAUGGCAACUUCCCAUUCCAUGUACUGACUGGUAGGGCAGCAUUCUCCCUCAUACCAAAGGGAAUUACCAUAGCUUGGGGAGGAGUACAGGAAUGGCUUUGUGACACACAAACCUUCAGUGUCACUCCCUUCCUCCUGCCCACUCCAUUGUUUGCCACCUGAGGAAGCUGCCACACUCUGCCUAAUGGUAGGUAAUUAUUUAUUUUAGUAAGGGUUUGGUGCUCCCACAUUAUAUUAUUUAGUAAGGUAAUCUACAUAUCACUUACACUUCAAAGAAGCCUCUAAGCCAUUUUGAACACUGUAAAACUAUCACCAACCAAACAGUAGAAGACGGGGGUGAUGGCACCUACCUGACCUCCUGACAGGUGAGUCUCUGCUUCUUAUUGGGGAGGGAGGGGAGAUAGCACUUUGCACCAUCCCUUCCUCCUCAUGAUUUCCAAGAUAUCAGGUAAGCACCUCUGCCUCCUCUAAAGUUCCCCACUCACCCCUCCUUAUUAAAAAAAAUGUUUUUUCUUGAACUUUUUCCACACAGCUUUUCCAAAUGUUAACAUAGGCUUAGUAAGCCAACCUUGGGUGACAUCGUCGGCACCUCAUUGUCCUAUUGCUAAAGCAAAGGGUUGCGGGUGGUGCUGUGGUCUAAACCACUGAGCCUCUUGGGCUUGCCAAUCGGGAGGUCGGCAGUUCGAAUCCACAUUGCUCUGUCCCAGAUUCUGCCCACCUAGCAGUUCGAAACCACACCAGCGCAAUUAGAUAAAUAGGUACCGCUGUGGUAGGAAGGUAAAUGUGCACUCUGGUUUCCACCAUGAUGUCCCAUUGCACCAGAAGCAAUUGAGUCAUGCUGGCCACAUGACCUGGAAAAUUGACAAACACUGGCUCCUUCGGCCUGAAACAAAAUGAGCGCUGCAACCCCAUAGUCGCCUUUGACUGGACUUCUCCGUCCAGGGGUCCUUUACCUUUAGUACAAGUAUAAAAUAUAUCCAGCUCCACUAAAGUCUCUGUAGAGCCAAGUGAUGACCUGACAUGCAGAACUGCAGCCCCCACUUCUAGUUUAGCUCUCAGUGUUCGAACGAGGAUGGGGAGUGUCCAAGAUCCUUUUUGCCUGUGGGCUUAACUUGGCCAGGAAAAAACACCUGAGAGAGGUACCUUGUAAGCUGCAUCUGUGGAAUGAGGGGCUGUGCUGAGGGUCCAAUGGGAAGCCCCCAUGGCUCUUAACUGAGCCCCUGGCCUAUCCUUAAUAUAGAAAAAACAAGGUCUUGCUUUGACAGGCAAGAAGUACUUUCACAUGCCAAUAAAUCAAAGCAGCACUGUGCUGCUUUUCUCUGAGCCACUUUUGUGACAAUUGAAAACAGUUGGCCCUUUGCUCAAGACAGGGAAAUUGCAUUAUCUGCAUGCAAGUGAUCACAGCAGAGUUUUGGUUUGGUUUCUAUUGUUGGGGGAGGGGUUGGAGCAAUGCACACGGCCAAGCCCGCAAUUGCCCUGGCAUGAUCAAAGAACAACUGUUUUCCCAUGUCCUACAAUUGACCAAAACAGCCCCACUGACAAGAGUAAAGGGACACGUGAAAGUAAUCAGUGAUCACAGUGCAUUGGCAAGUACCUAAGGCAGUAAAGUACCCUGAAACUUGCAAAGUUAAUGUGUUAACAUAUGUUAGCAGGAAGAUUUUAGCCAGAGAUACCUCUUUACAGAUGAUGAUGGUGAUGAUGCAAAGACUAACAUUAUCCCUUUUGAAAAUGCGAGAAAAUGAAUGAUUAUAAUUCAGUUUAAUAAAUAUAUAUAGAUACAGUAUAUAGGUGUACUUGAACCACAGCGCCACCUUUGGGUGUCCUUUAUUUCUGCAAUUGUGGCCUCAGCAGGACCAAAAGAGUAGCUCAAUGCAAUAUAAUAUUUUGGGGGAUAUAUGAUAAAAAAGUAUGUGUCUGAAAAAGCAAAAGGGAAAACAAAAUUACUUUUCCAUGUUUUUGACAGCACCACUAAAAUGUUGCGUUAAACAAAUGUGUUUCGGAUGAGAGAAUGCAGUUGAUACUUUUUUUCUAUUUAUGCAUAUUGCGUCUUUUUAUAUAGAUUCAUGGGAGUGCCUUUAAGAGGGUUGUAGGCAGAUGGUCAUGAGAUUGAGCUUUCUCCAUCACUCUGCAUCUUUGUAAGACCAUCUGUCCUUUGGGCAGGGGGCAGGUGAAGGUGAUAGACACUUCAGUAGCGUUGCUACUGUUAAUCCCCCCCUCGUUAUUACUGACCCUUUUCUUAUGCUUUUAACUGGAAACCAAAAAUGCAGAAAAUAUGCAGGCUAUCCUUUCCCAUCACUUUCUAUCCAUACCAAGGAACAUAGGAUGCAUCCCUAAACUGAGCCAGAUCCAUUGCUCCACCUAUCUCAGUGUCACUACACUGAACGACAACAGUUCUCCAGGGUUUCAGAACGGGACAUUCCCAGACCUACCUAAAGAGGCUGGUUUCUUCCAGGGACCCUCUGCAUGUAAGGCAACUGCCCUACCACUGAGCUAUGGCCCUUCCCUACCAGCUUCAGCAGCGAUGGUGCAAAUAGUCAAAUAUGUUGCAUCCUGCACCAAAAUGUCAGCAUGACCUGCUCUUCUCAUAGUAGCUUCCUCUGCAGAGUUCACUAGGUGAAGCUUUCCUGGCACAGAAACAUAUCCUACUGACUUGCAAAAUGGAAGAAUGAGGACUGCGUCAGGACCUGUAAAUAGCUGCCCUGUGUGAUAAGCCAAUGAAGCAGAGGGGACAACUCCUCAGUAAAGGAGUUUCAAGCACUGGACUGAUUCCUUUCAUUCAGGAUGACCAUUGGUUCCUUCUGGACAGAAGGGUUUCCUUUUCCAUCUGAACCUUGUUUGAACAAUACAUUUUUCCUGGGG
rnacentral:lncRNA from 1 species